rnacentral:rRNA from 1 species
AUUGAACGCUGGCGGCAGGCCUAACACAUGCAAGUCGAGCGGUAGAGAGAAGCUUGCUUCUCUUGAGAGCGGCGGACGGGUGAGUAAAGCCUAGGAAUCUGCCUGGUAGUGGGGGAUAACGUUCGGAAACGGACGCUAAUACCGCAUACGUCCUACGGGAGAAAGCAGGGGACCUUCGGGCCUUGCGCUAUCAGAUGAGCCUAGGUCGGAUUAGCUAGUUGGUGAGGUAAUGGCUCACCAAGGCGAUGAUCCGUAACUGGUCUGAGAGGAUGAUCAGUCACACUGGAACUGAGACACGGUCCAGACUCCUACGGGAGGCAGCAGUGGGGAAUAUUGGACAAUGGGCGAAAGCCUGAUCCAGCCAUGCCGCGUGUGUGAAGAAGGUCUUCGGAUUGUAAAGCACUUUAAGUUGGGAGGAAGGGCAUUAACCUAAUACGUUAGUGUUUUGACGUUACCGACAGAAUAAGCACCGGCUAACUCUGUGCCAGCAGCCGCGGUAAUACAGAGGGUGCAAGCGUUAAUCGGAAUUACUGGGCGUAAAGCGCGCGUAGGUGGUUUGUUAAGUUGGAUGUGAAAUCCCCGGGCUCAACCUGGGAACUGCAUUCAAAACUGACUGACUAGAGUAUGGUAGAGGGUGGUGGAAUUUCCUGUGUAGCGGUGAAAUGCGUAGAUAUAGGAAGGAACACCAGUGGCGAAGGCGACCACCUGGACUAAUACUGACACUGAGGUGCGAAAGCGUGGGGAGCAAACAGG